AGAGACAUUAAUGAUGAAAAAAAAAAGGAAAAAAAAUGUUAAUACAAGAGUUACAAAGACAAAAGUUUUAUUUCUGUCGAAUUUUUUACGCAGUCAUCAGAAGGGUCCAGAUUUUCAUUUGAAAGCUUUUCAUAUACACAUACACAUUGAGUAAAUAUAUAGAUAUUUUAUUAUAUAUGGCUCCAGCAAUGCAGAUAAUGCAUCUAGUAAAAUGUACAAAGCCUGUCUCCCAAAGGAUUGGUGCGCACGAACAAAGUCAACACCUUCUUCAUACCAAGAUAGUUAAUGCAUUUUGCUCCAUAUAUUUUCAACAAUGUUGUUUGUGGUGACUGUUUAAAUUUAUUUGUGGGACAAAUUUAAAGACAUUGGUAGCACCAUCUGUACUCACAGCUAGAAAGCUGUCUACCGUUAAUUCACCCACACAUCUCAGUCGACAACAGUAGCUAUUCUUAGAGAAUUUUUUUUAUUUAAAAAAAAAAACAAAACAAGAAGAAUCUACACAAUUUCCCAGAAGAAGAAGAAGAAGGAAAAUGGAAAGGAGAGUAGUAAAGGAUCGUCGUACUUGCAUAUAAUAUAUGACCUUGUGGUUGUACUACUUGCACGUCACCAAUGAACGGAUGCCGACACUGUCUCAGCCACAAGCAUUAGACAUGAGACAUUUUUAUUGCAGCUUACCACAAAUAUUAUUAUAGAUGAUUUUUUAUUUCAUCAUAAUUAUACGUGUUAAGCUCUUAUGGUCUGUUAAUUAAUUGCUUGAUAUCUGUUUUUGAUUUACACGUUAUUGGAGCUAUUAAAAAAUAUAUGAGACCAAUCAACUAAAUUACGUCUCAUCUCUUGUUGAAAUUUGUAGAGUAAAUAGAGGCUCACUUCGGCUCGUCUCAAAAAAAUUCGCACGGAUCUUGUAACUAUGGUCUUGCAAAAAUUGCCGCCAAAUUAUACUAAGCUUGUCUUGGUAUUUAUACGAAUUAAUGCAACCUCGAGAAUUCCGAUAAAAGUAUUCAAGGAGAGUUGAAAAUUGCCAGAAGCCAUGGCAUUCUCGUGACGAACAGUCAGCGUAAUUUAAACUUUUCUUUUAUUCAAAAGUUGUGUGUACAAUUUUGUUCAUACGUGCUCAACGUAUCCAAAGAAUUUUUCAUGUUAACUUGCAAAGCUCACAUAUACUGCAGAGAUGGUAAACUUCUCACUGGAUAACUUUACUUAAACGUCAACACACAAGGCUUUAAUGCAAUUGUUUAUCUGAGAACUAUCAGAGAAGUCUUCGAAUGAAAAGAUGCCUAGGGGCAAUCCUCGUUCCCGUUCACGUCCUCGUGAUGCUUCUGGAGGCCACAUAGUCAUUUGAAACCCUUGUUUAUGAUGAAAAAUUUCCAACCAAGUUAUUUAAACUUGACCAUAAAGAUUCUUGCAUUAAAUCGAAUCCAUCAUGAUCCAUAAUUUGAAGACUAUUAUUACAUAACAGUAUAUAUUCAAAUGUGUUGGGUGUGUCAGAUUAUAUAAUUUUCCAUGAGAGAAGACAUGAGCGUCAACAUUAUUAGCAAAGACAGUAGAAAAAAAAAUUAUUCAAUGAUGGAAAAAAUAAAAAUAAAUAAAAAGAGAAUGAGCAGUUAUAAAAAAGUUCAACAAGAUAAAACUUGAGUAAAAAAGAUAAUGCAAAGUAGCAUUGAAGAAAGGACAAGGUCAUUUUACAUUAUGUACUUGGUGGAAUUCAAAUUUGAAUCGACAAUCGGAGCUAGAGAUUUUUUUACUUUUAAUUUUUUGUUUUUUUUUUUUGUCAGUGCAAGUUCUCAGAACAAAUAAUUGCACGAGGUAUUUUGCAAGGAUUGUAUGUGGUUGACUUCAUGAAGUACCAUGUUCCCCUCUUGGCUCGUAACUGUCGGCAUGCACCAACAAAGUAAGUUGACGACAGCAUAACAUAGGACAGUGUGGGGCUUCUUCUUUCAAGGCAAAGUGGAUAUGUAUUGUGCAGUAGUAGUGCCAUGUUGUAUAACUAUUACUAUAGGCAUUUAUACAUAUAGAGGAGGUAAAGAAAUCCGGGCGCGGAACCACCAAGCCAUUCGAUAGUGCAGUAUUGGCUGCUGGAACGUGAUUCAAUUUGGUGUCUCAUUCCCAACAGACGAUGCCUCCUUAGUUCGACUCGAGAAUACUGGUAUAUGUGCAAUACAUUGAGUAUGGCAAGCCUUUCGCAUCGUAUCAAUAUUCCAAUAGGCUUUCAAUUUAAAUUAUCGACGAUAUCAAUGUGGACGGAAAAAAAGAAGAAAAAAAAAAAAAAAAACAGGAGCCAUCGAUCUACAUCACUGUAUCAUUCAUCCAUCCACACGUACACAAAAUGAAUGAUAAACUUAUCUGGGCACCAAGGUACUGCAAGUUAACCGACGCGAGAGUUUUUCAUAUGAUUCCCAGAUAUGGCACCUGUCCAAACUCAUCGAUCGUAAUGCUUCGCGGUGGAAGAAGUUGCCGCCGUGAGGGAUAUUAAGUUUCUUUUUAAGAGUGGCUUCCUCCAUUAUUAGUCCAUGUACUUCAUCACUGAAAUUCCAUUAAGAGUUCUUUUUGAGGUAUGGAUGUGUAGUCUUUCUUUGGUGAGGUGUUAUAUUUUUUUUGGUACUUAUUGAGAGGCGGAGAAUAUACAUAUAUAUAUAUUUGCAUCAACGAAAAAUCUUACUUUAAAUCCUUUGAGACCCAAUCGGUUCGUUUCUUCAACCGAGGGCGUCGAUACCAAUUAAAUUAAACACGCUGGAGGAUCUUUUCGUGAUGUCGGUUCAGGUGUAUUCCACUGAGAAAUAUCGAUCUUGAAAUGCGUGGGAGUAUAAAACCUUGUAAACUAACAGUCGUGAGUUAAGGGGGUAUGACACCUUGCGGCACCAACUUUUCACCCUUCGUGUGUAAACUUGCUUUAAUAAGCCGACCGCUCUUUGAAAUGAUGGAAGGCCUAUGUAAUUCGUUUGCUUUUGAAAACCAGAAGAUGUAAUGUGGCACAUUUAUGACACACCUCAGUGCACAGUUGGAGUGUAUAUGAAAGGAUGUCUUAUGCUGAUGAAUAACAGUCGGUGAGUCAAGAGCAUGAUGCAGAAAGACGAGGAGUUUUACGCUUAAUACGAAUAGUUCAUCUAACCAGGUAGAUAAUUAACAAAAAAUCAUCAAAGAGCUUGUUUGAAGUUUCGAAAAUAAUAUCUUCCUGACAUCUCGAACUCGCUUUAGUAAGAGGAUUCCAAUUGCUUUGCUACCAACGACUUGAAGCGUAUGAAUACCAAGCGUGCAGAAAAUUAGAGGAAAAACAAAAGAUGAAAAAUAUUACUGCUACUUUGCCAGUAUAAAUACAAAAAAAUUCUACAGAGAAUGUAUGCAAGUGACAAAUACCAAUAUUGAUGAUGUCAAAAGCGGAGGGAAGCUCAUAGUAAAAGCGUUUGUUUACUGCUUCGAUGCAGCGAUCGAAACAUGCUCGGCAGGACAUUUAACUGCACAAUGGCAUCAUGUCUAUAUGCGGUUUGACAGGAUGAGGAAGUAGUGAAGAGACAAAGUCAGUGUUAUAGUACAAAACAAGAUAAGAGAUGGUGUGCCAAUUGCUAAAAUGUUAAAGACCUUUUAUCAUUGUGGAGCACAUCGAUAAUCGAUUUGUGUAUAUAUACAUAUGAAACCUAGUUAAGUCCAGCCAAAUAUUUACUCGUUGUCAUCGGGUACAUGUUGCCUAUACCCAAAGACUUGGAUACACUCUGUAGACGAUGUCUCAACGAUCUGUUGACGUGUUCUCCCAAGUAAUUGGUCACACAUGUCAGGUGACAGUUUGAUUAACCAAUCAAGCAGUUUUACGAAGUGCUUGGCGUGCAUAUAAUUUGUAUACGAGAGAAGACAAAACUAUUGCUGCUUGAAUGUUGGAAGAAUUCUCGGCGGUGGCAGCACUUCCUUGUUAGUAAUACUUUCAGUACAAAAAUAAGUGGGGAGAUGCAAUGUCUACAUUAUAGCGCAGAAGCAAAAUACAAUGCAACAUAAAGUUUGCAUUUGAGAGCUGUGCAUUGAGCUGAAUGGAACUAAAAAAUUUUAAAAAAUCAUCAUUUCAAUUUUCAACACAAUUUAUUUAACCUGAAACUUUUUAUUUUAUUAUUAAACUCGAUUAAAUAUUAUUUUAAUAAAAAAUAAUUUAUA
rnacentral:lncRNA from 1 species